AUUAAAAGAAAAAAAAAAAACAAAAUAGCCAGAAAGAUGUUAAUAACGCAAAUGAGGAUUUGGAAAAAUGCUAACCAAACUGAAAGAGAAACUGGAUAAUUUAAAAAUCCAAAAAAUAUUACUAAGAAUAUCGAUGAUGGUGGCUUUCGCGGGCAAUUAUAUUGGAGUGCUUCACGGUCGCUCCUUUAAAUAUACGAAAGAUCGGGAAGAUAUGAUAAGGACACGGUAUUGUACUGGGGGAACACAACCAACGGGCAAGAUGAAUGGCAGGGCAGGAUCAUUAAUUACUUCGAUCACGAUGUGGAGCAUAUCUGGCGCUACAUCUUUUCUCUCUCGCGAGCCGCCUACACGAGCCUCCACAUGUGUGCGAGUCAGCACAUGCACUUGCUGACUUUAAAAGGAUUUGUAUAUGGUUACAGUUCCUACAAAGGCGUUUUCUCGAACACUUUUAUAAGUGAUGUUGGUACCGUAUACUGGUAUAGACCAAGAUGGUUUAAUUACCAUUACCUAUAUUGGUCUACAUUCGCGAGAUGGUAAGAGCCGAUCGAACGACUGUGGUCGCCGACGACCCGCAUCGAAACUGGGCAUUGAUUAUGGUAAAUUAUGCGGUGAAUUUGUUCGUUUACAUAGACGGUCCCCACGAUACUGUCCAAGCCAUGAGAAAUGACAAUUGCGGACAGUCUCAUGUCGCCGAAGAUAGACAGGGACCGUUCGCUUCUUGGAUCUUCUUGUAUCUAUCCGAUAUACACCAGAGUGCUUACUGUUAGAAGUUACAAGCGGAAAAUAUCUAUGUAUAUACUAAGAUAAAUAGAAUAAUAAAUAAGUAUAA